rnacentral:rRNA from 1 species
GACGAACGCUGGCGGCGUGCCUAAUACAUGCAAGUAGAACGCUGAAGAGAGGAGCUUGCUCUUCUUGGAUGAGUUGCGAACGGGUGAGUAACGCGUAGGUAACCUGCCUUGUAGCGGGGGAUAACUAUUGGAAACGAUAGCUAAUACCGCAUAACAAUGGACGACACAUGUCAUUUAUUUGAAAGGGGCAAUUGCUCCACUACAAGAUGGACCUGCGUUGUAUUAGCUAGUAGGUGAGGUAAUGGCUCACCUAGGCGACGAUACAUAGCCGACCUGAGAGGGUGAUCGGCCACACUGGGAUUGAGACACGGCCCAGACUCCUACGGGAGGCAGCAGUAGGGAAUCUUCGGCAAUGGGGGCAACCCUGACCGAGCAACGCCGCGUGAGUGAAGAAGGUUUUCGGAUCGUAAAGCUCUGUUGUAAGUCAAGAACGGGUGUGAGAGUGGAAAGUUCACACUGUGACGGUAGCUUACCAGAAAGAGACGGCUAACUACGUG